AUUGAACGCUGGCGGCAUGCUUUACACAUGCAAGUCGAACGGUAACAGGCCGCACGGUGCUGACGAGUGGCGAACGGGUGAGUAAUGCAUCGGAACGUGCCCAGUCGUGGGGGAUAACUACUCGAAAGAGUAGCUAAUACCGCAUACGAUCUAUGGAUGAAAGCGGGGGACCGUAAGGCCUCGCGCGAUUGGAGCGGCCGAUGUCAGAUUAGGUAGUUGGUGGGGUAAAGGCUCACCAAUCCAACGAUCUGUAGCCGGUCUGAGUGGACGACCAGCCACACUAGGUCUAAGACACCGCCGAGACUCCUUGGGGAUGCACCAGUGUGGAACUUAGGACACUGGGCGCAAGCCUGACCCAGCAAUCCCGCGUGCAGGGAGUGCGCUUACGCUUAGGAGACUGUUUUUGUGCGGAACAAAAGCCCUGCGCUUAAUACCCGAUGCUAAUGACGGCACCGUGAGAAUAAUCAGCGGCUAACUACGUG
rnacentral:rRNA from 1 species